UACGAAGGGGGCUAGCGUUGCUCGGAAUCACUGGGCGUAAAGGGUGCGUAGGCGGGGCUUUAAGUCAGGGGUGAAAUCCUGGAGCUCAACUCCAGAACUGCCUUUGAUACUGAAGAUCUUGAGUUCGGGAGAGGUGAGUGGAACUGCGAGUGUAGAGGUGAAAUUCGUAGAUAUUCGCAAGAACACCAGUGGCGAAGGCGGCUCACUGGCUCGAUACUGACGCUGAGGUGCGAAAGCGUGGGGAGCAAACAGG
rnacentral:rRNA from 1 species